GACGAACGCUGGCGGCGUGCUUAACACAUGCAAGUCGAGCGGUAAGGCCCUUUCGGGGGUACACGAGCGGCGAACGGGUGAGUAACACGUGGGUGACCCGCCCUCAGCUCUGGGAUAAGCCCGGGAAACUGGGUCUAAUACCGGAUAUGACUCCAUGACGCAUGUUGUGGGGUGGAAAGCCUUGUGCGGCUGAGGAUGGGCCCGCGGCCUAUCAGCUUGUUGGUGGGGUGAUGGCCUACCAAGGCGACGACGGGUAGCCGGCCUGAGAGGGCGACCGGCCACACUGGGACUGAGAUACGGCCCAGACUCCUACGGGAGGCAGCAGUGGGGAAUCUUGCGCAAUGGGCGAAAGCCUGACGCAGCGACGCCGCGUGA
rnacentral:rRNA from 1 species